GAGGGUAUAGCUCACUGGUAAAGUUCAUGCUUAGCAUGCACAAAGUCCUGGGUUCAAUCCCUAGUACCUCCA
rnacentral:tRNA from 1 species